rnacentral:rRNA from 1 species
UACGAAGGGGGCUAGCGUUGCUCGGAAUCACUGGGCGUAAAGGGUGCGUAGGCGGGGCUUUAAGUCAGGGGUGAAAUCCUGGGGCUCAACUCCAGAACUGCCUUUGAUACUGAAGAUCUUGAGUUCGGGAGAGGUGAGUGGAACUGCGAGUGUAGAGGUGAAAUUCGUAGAUAUUCGCAAGAACACCAGUGGCGAAGGCGGCUCACUGGCCCGAUACUGACGCUGAGGCACGAAAGCGUGGGGAGCAAACAGG